UGGGGAAUAUUGCACAAUGGGCGAAAGCCUGAUGCAGCGACGCCGCGUGCGGGAUGAAGGCCUUCGGGUUGUAAACCGCUUUUAAUUGGGAGCAAGCGAGAGUGAGUGUACCUUUUGAAUAAGCACCGGCUAACUACGUGCCAGCAGCCGCGGUAAUACGUAGGGUGCAAGCGUUAUCCGGAAUUAUUGGGCGUAAAGAGCUCGUAGGCGGUUUGUCACGCCUGGUGUGAAAGUCCAUC
rnacentral:rRNA from 1 species